GCCUACGGGGGGCAGCAGUAGGGAAUUUUCGUCAAUGGGCGCAAGCCUGAACGAGCAAUGCCGCGUGAACGAGGAAGGUCUUCGGAUCGUAAAGUUCUGUUGAAGGGGAAAAAGAGCGGAGAGAGGAAAUGGUCUCCGAUUGAUAUUACCCUUCGAGGAAGUCACGGCUAACUACGUGCCAGCAGCCGCGGUAAUACGUAGGUGGCGAGCGUUAUCCGGAAUCAUUGGGCGUAAAGGGUGCGUAGGCGGCCUGCUAAGUCUGGAGUGAAAGGUACCGGCUCAACCGGUACAGGCUCUGGCAACUG
rnacentral:rRNA from 1 species